rnacentral:lncRNA from 1 species
AAAAAAGAGAAUCACUGCUUAUCUUAGUCUGUUCGGGUAGCUGUAACAAAAUACCAUACCUGAGUGACUUACAAGUAAUAGAAAUGUUAUUUCUCACAUUUCUGGAGUCUGGGAAGCCCAAGAUCAAGGUGCUAGCAGAUUUGGUGUCUGGUAUCUACUGACCUGGUUAUCGCUUCUUCCUUUAAGGAGUAUUAGAACACUGCUGGGGAUGGGCUGACAAACAUACCAGGGAUUUUACUUUGUGUCAGCCAAGAGGCUUUCCUUACCUCCUUGUCUUCAGUACUCUUGUGCACAAGCAUGCUUCUCAGAGAAGGUGGAUUCUACCUUGGAAGGAAAUGAGUCGUUUCCUCCCAUCAGGACAACUGCCACAGCAUGGUGUCAACUCACUCUUGCCUUUCGUAAAUUGAGUUUGUCAGUGCUCAGCGACACAGCUGAGUGAAAUGUUGUGUGAUGCGGGCUGUCUCCUGGGAGAGAGAAACUGGCAUAAACCACAUCCUAAUGGGAUCCAGAAACAAAGAAGCGUGAAUGAAGUGUUAAUUGCAUUCAUAAAGACAUUAACAAAGGAAUUAAAAUGGCAGAAGCUUCAGUCCCCCACUCAAGAUUCACAGAAAAAUAUGUUAUCCAAAGAAUGUUUCAACAAUAAUCAUCAAAGUUUAUUGCUUGCCCAUUGGGGAAAUAACUCUUGAUACAUAUUAACUUUUCAAAGAACAUUUUGGGUCCAUUAUUUUGAGUAUAUUAACUAACAGACAGUUUAUUCCACCCUACCUCCAGUUCUUUGCUUGCUUUUGUAUGAUUUAAGUUUCAAAAAAAUCCAGAGGCAUUUUCAGUGCUGCUUCAUUAACCAUAAGGAUGUCUGUUAACAGUUUGAACCUAAUCAAUCCUACAGUUCUUAUUAGAGCAAAAUGCUCAUUAUCUGGGAGAAUUUUUGCUUUUUGAAAUAAAAUUACAAGACUGGGGGUUUAUUUUACAGUCCCUCUUGAAUAUUCCUGAGAUGAUCUGCAAUGUGGGCAACCCGGGGCUCCCUCCCCAGCCCUGUGGCAGGGCCCCCCAGCUGCUGACAGCGGGGCUAAGCUGGCAAAAGGUCAGGAGGCUGCAUUUCACUGAAGAUGGAUCGCACAGAUGAAUAUUGCGCUUGCUUAAUGAAGUCAAGGCCACGGAUUUGGGGCCUUUUAUGGUUCUUCUUGUUUCACUCAAUUUCACCUUCAUAGACCACGCCACUAAUCCCAGCCAAUCAUUUUGUAGAUAUGUGCAACUGGUGACUAAGGGACUAGAUAAAAGUAAAUGAAUCUAAAAAACAGUGACCAGAAAUUCAGAAAUCUCUGUGCCUAUAACAAACUCAGAAUUAAAAAAAAAAAGCAUGCAGAGUGAGUGUUUCGUGAUCCUUGCAGAAACUCUGUGAGAUAUAUGGAGCCGACAUUCCUACCUUCAUUCUGCAGUGUUGGAGGUGAAGCUUGGUGGAAGGUGAUUGGAUCAUGGGGGUGGACAUCUCAUGAAUGAUUUAGCACGAUCUCCUUGGUGCUGUUCUUAUGAUGACCCUGCAUCCUGAUGAACCAACUGGCACCACCCAGACUGGUAAACUGGCCCAACUUGUUCUGCCAUCCCACCCAGAAACUGAAGACAGCAAGAAGAACCUGCUUCAACCCCCUAUGAUUUCAGCCCCAACCCAACCAAAGCAUUCCCCCACUCCCUAGCCCCAUGACCACCAAAUUACGCUUAAAAAACCCUAGUCUUCAAAUUUUUGGGGAGACCAAUUUAAGUAAUAAAAUUCUGGUCUUCUGUUUAGCCAGCUCUGCAUUUAUUAAACUAUUUCUCUAUUGUAAUAAUGCUAUCUCAGUAAAUUGGCUCUGUCUGUGCAAGUGCAACAGGCAAGAACAACUGUAAGGGCAGUUAUAAUCUCAAAGCAGCCAUUUUAUUGGGCCAAAUCACUUUUGUCCCAGUAUAGCCAUAUGUUGCUUAAUGACGUGGAUAUGUUUUGUGAAAUGCAUCAUUAGGUGAUUUUGUCAUUGUGUGACACCAUACAGUGUGCUUAUACAAACCUAGAUGGCACAGCCUACUACACACCUAGGCUAUAUGGUUUAGCUCCUUCCUCCUGGGCUACAAACCUGUACAGUAUGUUACAGCACUGACUACUGUAGGCGAUUGUAAUACAAUGGUAAGCAUUUGUGUAUCUAAAAGUAUCUAAAUAUAGAAAAAGUACAGUAAAAAUACAGCAUUAUACUCUUAUGGGACCACCAUGAGAGCUGUGGUCUGUU